rnacentral:rRNA from 1 species
GAUGAACGCUGGCGGCGUGCCUAAUACAUGCAAGUCGAGCGAACGGACGAGAAGCUUGCUUCUCUGAUGUUAGCGGCGGACGGGUGAGUAACACGUGGAUAACCUACCUAUAAGACUGGGAUAACUUCGGGAAACCGUAGCUAAUACCGGAUAAUAUUUUGAACCGCAUGGUUCAAAAGUGAAAGACGGUCUUGCUGUCACUUAUAGAUGGAUCCGCGCUGCAUUAGCUAGUUGGUAAGGUAACGGCUUACCAAGGCAACGAUGCAUAGCCGACCUGAGAGGGUGACCGCCAACAUUGAAACGAGGACAGGGCCCAGAUCCUUAGGGAAGGCAGCAGAAGGAAACUUUCGGAAAUGGCGAAAGGCCUAAGGGGGAAACGCCGGUGAGGUGAUGAAGGUCUUCGAAUCGUAAAACUUUGUAAUAAGGAAGAAAAAAAGGGGAAAGUAACGGUGAAAAUCUUGACGGUACCAAAUAAGAAAGCAACGGCUAACUACGU